CAAUGGCAUGAUCUUGGCUCACUGCAACCUCCGACUCCCUGGUUAAAGCAAUUCUCCUGCCUCAGCGUCCCGACACAGCUUUAUCUCCAGCAUAGCUCCAUCUCUUCAGAUUCAGAACCGUAUCUCUCUCUACCUAUUGUUCCAAUCCACUUGAAGGUUUCUCAAAUACUUCAAGAACAUCUUCAAAACUGAAUGAAGCUGCUCUUGGCUGCAAGUCUUGCUGCUUGGGAGAAAUUGCAGCUGUAGCAGCUCUCCUCCGGCCCCAGGCUUGUGAUAGGAAAGAACACAAUUCAAAAACCUACUGCUGGGACACUUUCCACACUCCUGGUUGUGGAAGCCCCUAUGCUGCUCCAUAGCAGGCGCUCCAAUCUCUGGCCUGAGAUUAAAAUGCCUGCAUGACCAUGCUGUUGGGUCAGCUAAGAGUGGCUGAAUUUGUAUGUUCCCAAAUUAAAAAUGGCAUCCUCUCAGUCCCAGGUCUGGGAAAAGACCAUGUCUUUCUCUCACAGCAUCUCCAAGUCUCUCCCCAAGUUAGCUCCAGGGCCUGGGAGAAACAAAGUGCUCUUUCUUGG
rnacentral:lncRNA from 1 species